rnacentral:piRNA from 1 species
UGGGUGGUACCAUCCCUAGGCUGGUAGUC